GUGCUCACUUCGGCAGCACAUAUACUAAAAUUGGAAUGAUACAGGGAAGAUUAGCAUGGUCCUUGCACAAGGAUGACACACAAAUUAAUGAAACAUUCCAUAUUUUA
rnacentral:snRNA from 1 species